CAUUAGUGUGAAAUUUGCAACAGCAGGUCGGCGUGAUGAGCGUCUCUAAGAUGGGAAGUGAGGCAGAUAAAAAUAGAAAACAUGCUGAGCUAAAGUGAGCACGGGGAAGACAAGACGGUUCUUUGUUUUCUGCUGAGGCCACGGCGGCUGGGAGAUGGCGGUGAAGAAGCGGGGACGAUGGUGAGAAUGUACUGUCCACACCGCCCAGCGUGUGAUUGGCGUUGUACAGGGAGUAGGUCAACUGGUACACGCCGUCGUUGGUCUCGCUGUUGCCAUAGAAACCCACACCCACUGCGACGCUGCAGAGAGAAGAAGAGGCAUGGAGGGACAGGUCUCCGCCUUCCCUUCUCCGAAGGGCGGCUGUGGCUCAGAGUCAGAGCGGGUCGUCCACCAAUCAGAUGAUCGGUGGCCCGAUCCCCGGCUCCCCCUUCAGGCUGCAUGUCAAAGCGUCCUUGAUCCCCAAAUUGCUCCCGAUUUCCCCAAAUUGCUCCCGAAUCGGUGUAUGAAUGCUUAGCUCCUGAAACUGAUGAGCAGUUGGCACCUUGGCUUUGAGUGGAAGGCGCUCUGUAAGUACAGUCCAUUUACCCUGUGAGUCAUCCCUGAUUACCUGCCUCCCUCAUGUGUUGCACCUGUGCCUGAUUGUGUUUAGUCUCUGUGCUCCCUUUGUUUGUCGCCAGUUCGUCUUGACUUGUCCAGCAUCCCAGUGUUUCUUUGUCUUGUAUUCUUGUUUUUGAUUACCUGAUCUUCGACCUUUAGCCUGAUUUUUGACCACAAUGUUACGGAUUUGUACUUUCGCCUGUACUCUAGCUCAUCUAGUAAAACUUUUUGAACCAUCUGAGUCUGUAUCGCGAAUCCUUCCGUGAGCCCUUUCUAAUAGUUUAUCCAUUGAUUUUAGCGAUUUAAACUAUUUAUCCAUUAAGAUAAAUGUUACAAUUUCCUGGCUUGCUUGCUGACUAGUUUUCGUGUUCAGUUAUUAAAGCUAACUCAGUAUUAAUAAAUGUUUUGUUUUUUAUGAUUUCUACUCCACAACCUUUCCAAGCAUCCCCAAAGCAACUGCUCUAGUACCUCCUGGUGCACCCAUCAUUGGAAAUCACCGCUACAAACCGCCACCGUGUGCUAAUGCGCUCCACAUGAAGGCAAGUCAGGUUAGUACCAAAGGAAACGUAGGCAGGAGUCGGACUAAUUGAGACCUAGAGCAGCAUCUUUAACCUUCGACUCCUCCCCGAUGCUCCGGAUAGGCGUCAAGCUGAAAGCGAGCCUAUAAAUCCACUGUCGGUGACGCCUCCUGCAGCGUUCACCUGGAAGCGCUGAAGUCUGGCAGGAUUGUUUUAGCUGGUGGCGGUCGACGUCGAACAACAGGGGCCGUUUUCCUAAUUAGUACAACAAGGACGGAGUCUCAUUAGCUGCCCCCCCCCCUGCAGGUAAACCACCCACUCUGUAGGUUUUAACAUGACCCUCGCGGCAAAAGGGAAGUAGUGGAGAAGUAAACGGGGGAAAAAAAGCUUGGAGAGCAACAGGAAGUGACAGAUACAGACCAACACAUACAGACAGUUUACAACGAACGCUAAGAGGCAAAAGCAGAGGGCAAGACGGGGUGACAAACAGAGCGAGACAAAAGAAACAAAGCAGAAAACAAAUCAAAGGAGAUUUGCUUUGCUUCUUGCAAAAAUAAUAAUCCACAGAUGAUGAUUCAUACGCUGGUGCAUUUCAUUUGUUUUGUGUGUUUGUUUUUUUCUAAUAAACAUCACCUACAAAGAAAAUAUACCCCGAGAGUUGCUCUCCUUUCAUCCAGACUAAUACCACAGCAACAUAAAAAAUAAAAUAAAAAAAAGAAUUGGAUAAAAGUAGCCCGGAGAAAUAUGGAUUUCUUUGAACCGUGCAAAUAUUUUAAGGGUUGAAUCUAAUUAAUAUUAAGGAAACUGGGAGGACAGAGGGGCAAAAGUGCAAAGAAAAGAGGAAAUCUCUCUCUUUUUAUACCCCCCUUGCUCUGCUGCUCUUUGUAAUAUCUACAGAUUUGAAGAAUAUCACAGAUUUGAGUUGGCAUGCACUGAGCAAAAAAAAAAAAAUCCAAACUGUCACGUUGAUAAAUGACAAAGCGUAUAAAAGACAUUCAGAAAAGGAACCAAAAGCUUCAGCCUGCAGCAUAAAAACGCCUUUAGCCACUAUUAAAAGACUCAGACGCGUUUGAAUAUUUGAGCAAUAACUCCCCUGUGAUAACAAAUAUAGAAUUUCAUAUCUUACUCUACUCUCCUGAACUCUCAGCCAUGCAAGUCCAUCCCGAAAAAAAAAAAUCCUCUUAAUAUGCAGGAGGCCUAAAAUAUAAAACACAAAUAACACAUUUCUAAAUUUCCCAUGCAUGCGUCUCCGUUUUCAGAGCUAGAAAUCUUCUGAAAUAGGCAAUUUAAGCCCAGAGAUGCAAAAACUAGUUAUAAAUUGUCAGCUGCUAAACAUAGAUGACCCCAAAAAAAGUAAAAACACGUCUGUUAGUAACUGCUGGUACUGUCAGCAUCCAAUAAAAAGCCUCUGGUGUGUGUGCCAGAGCAUUUCUGUACGGGAUCCAAUGGAGGACACUGAUAUGAAGUAAACAGGCAGCUUAUCUCGCUUCCUUUGUAGUGUCCUCUGUUCUCAUUUCCACUUUCUGAUUGGCAACGCACACCUAUCACAAUAAACAAACACAAAUAAAUAUUUCAAGUGUCCCGGAAAGGAGAAUAACUCCUGAUGAAUCAUUUACAUGAGCAGUGCAGUACAUGUGGAGAAUACUGAUGUUUUUCCAUUAAAAGUUUUUAUAUUUUUCAUUCAUUUGUUGGUUUAUAUCUGUCAAAUACACUUACAUAAUAAUGUGCUCAAGUGGUGUUGGAUAUUAUCGUAGUUUUGUGAGUUAAUUAUUUGGUGUGUUUGUAAAACAUGCUUGUCCCAAAUUGCCCCUUGAGGGACCAAUUAAAUGUCACGGUUUAAUUCAAAAUGGUGAACACAAAAGGUAAUUUUAACGACUGAAGGAACAGGUUGGCGAAGUCAAAAUAACAAAAGGUGGCUUCAGAGUCCAGGUGAAAGAAGCACAAAGGACCCGGGGAAGCAAUUACAGGACCUGGGAACAAGACGAGAGAGACAGAACGCUAAACAAAGAGGGAACCAAGGAGCACAGAAAGAAGCAGUCAGGUUCUUGAUGCACUUUUGAAUUAUCCUUCACAUAUUCCCUUGUGAUGUUUUCCAUCCAGGUCAAGGAAAGACAACAAAACACAA